GACGAACGCUGGCGGCGUGCCUAACACAUGCAAGUCGAACGGGACCAGGGGCAACUCUGGUUCAGUGGCGGACGGGUGCGUAACACGUGAGGAACAUGACCUUCGGCGGGGGAUAGCCGGCCCAACGGCCGGGUAAUACCGCGUACGACCUUUCGGGGACAUCCCCGGAUGGUGAAAGCAGCAAUGCGCCGAUGGAGUGCCUCGCGGCCUAUCAGCUAGUUGGUGAGGUAACGGCUCACCAAGGCAACGACGGGUAGCUGGUCUGAGAGGAUGGCCAGCCACAUUGGGACUGAGACACGGCCCAGACUCCUACGGGAGGCAGCAGUGGGGAAUAUUGGACAAUGGGGGAAACCCUGAUCCAGCCAUGCCGCGUGAGUGAAGAAGGCCUUCGGGUUGUAAAGCUCUUUCGGCGGGGACGAUGAUGACGGUACCCGCAUAAGAAGCCCCGGCUAACUUCGUGCCAGCCGCCG
rnacentral:rRNA from 1 species